rnacentral:rRNA from 1 species
UCAAGCUACUAAGGGCAUGUGGGGGAUGUCUUGGCGCCAGAAGGCGAUGAAGGACGUGGAAGGCUGCGAUAAGCCUGGGGUAGCUGUCAAACGAGCAUUGAUCCCGGGAUUUCCGAAUUAUCAUAUACUGAAUACAUAGGUAUAUGAGGCUAACGCGGAGAACUGAAACAUCUAAGUAUCCGUAGGAACAGAAAGAAAACUCGACUUCCUGAGUAGCGGCGAGCGAAAAGGAAUCAGCCUAAACCAUCCGAUUUAUCGGGUGGGGUCGUGGGGUUUACCAUUGUGGAGUUAUCAAGUAAUCAGCUAGAAGAAUUCGAUGGAAAGCGAAACCAAAGAGGGUGACAGUCCCGUAUUUGAAAGUUGUGUUACCUCCCGGUAGAUACCCGAGUAGGGCCGGUCACGUGAAACCCGGUCUGAAUCUAGGAGGACCACCUCCUAAGGCUAAGUACUCUCUGGCGACCGAUAGUGAAUCAGUAAGGUGACUGAAUGAUGAAAAGAACCUCUGCUAGAGGAGUUAAAAGAAUCUGAAACCACAUGCUUACAAGCGAUCGGAGCACUAUGUCUUCGGACAGUGUGACGGUGUGCCUUUUGCAUAAUGAUCCGGCGAGUUACCGUUUUUGGCUGGUUAAGAUCUUCAGGAUCGAAGCCUAAGGGAAACCGAGUCUUAAUAGGGCGAUGAUAGUCAAGGGCGGUAGACGCGAAACCAUGGUGAUCUACUCAUGGGCAGGUUGAAGCACGGGUAAAACUGUGUGGAGGACCGAACCCACUAAUGUUGAAAAAUUAGGGGAUGACCUGUGAGGAGGAGUAAAAGUCUAAUCAAACCUGGAGAUAGCUCGUUCUCUCCGAAAUAGCUUUAGGGCUAGCCUUGAGCCACUACGUAAUGGGGGUAGAGAUACUGAUCUCGGCUGGGGGGCUUCCCGCCUACCCACCGUAGCCAAACUCCGAAUACCAUUACGAUUAUCUCAGGAGUCAGUCCACGAGGGAGAAGCUUCGUGGUCGAGAGGGAAACAACCCAGAUCGCCUGCUAAGGUCCCUAAAUUGUACUCAGUCACUAAGGACGUUAGUGUGCAGUGACAGCCAGGAUGUUGGCUUAGAAGCAGCCAUCAUUUAAAAAGUGCGUAAUAGCUUACUGGUCGAGCAUGCUAGUACCGAUAAUGAACGGGAGUAAGUACAAUACCGAAGCAGCGGAAUUAACGUAAGUUAAUUGGUAGGAGAGCGUUCCAGAUCAGAUACGAGCCAUACCGUAAGGAGUGGUGACGGGGUCUGGAAGUGAUUAUGCCGGAAUGAGUAACGAUAAAGCAGGUGAGAAUCCUGCUCGCCGAAAACCUAAGGUUUCCUGGGGAAGGUAAAUCCGCCCAGGGUUAGGCGGUACCUUAGUCGAGGCCGAAAGGCGUAGACGAUGGACAGCAGGUUAAUAUUCCUGCGCCGUCAAUGUGGAUCGAUGGAGGGACGUUGCAUGAAAGGUCAGCGGGGUGACAGAAAUCCCCGUAGGCUUCUUUAAGAUAGUGGUAGGCAAAUCCGCCACAAUGUUCAAGAAGAAGUCUUGAGUCCCUGGAUGACGAAAUGAUCAGCAGUGUAACCAAGAAAAGCUUCUAAGAUUUGAAGCAUUGAUGACCGUACUAAAACUGACACAGGUAGGUAGGUCGAGAAGACCAAGGCGCUCGGGAGAAUGCUGGUUAAGGAACUCUGCAAAUUGGCCCCGUAAGUUCGCGAUAAGGGGUGCCUUCUAGGGUUAACGCUCUGGAAGGCCACAGUAAAUCGGCUCUGGCGACUGUUUACUAAAAACACAGGACUCUGCGAACUCGUAAGAGGAUGUAUAGAGUCUGACACCUGCUCGGUGCCGGUAAGUUAAAGAAGGGGGUUAGUCUUCGGACGAAGCUCACAACCGAAGCUCCGGUAAACGGCGGCCGUAACUAUGACGGUCCUAAGGUAGCGAAGUUCCUUGUCGGGUAAGUUCCGACCUGCAUGAAUGGUGUAACGACUGGAGCACUGUCUCAACCAGCAACCCGGUGAAAUUGUAGUCGUGGUGAAGAUGCCACGUACCCGCAGCAAGACGGAAAGACCCCAUGAACCUUUACUGUAGGCUGAUAUUGGCUUUAGGCACAUUUUGUGCAGGAUAGGUGGGAGGCUAUGAACUGGUGGCGUCAGCCAUCAGGGAGCCAUCCUUGAAAUACCACCCUGAAUUUGUUUGAAGUCUAACAGGAUCCCGUGAAUCCGGGUUCUGGACAGUUUCAGUUGGGCAGUUUGACUGGGGCGGUCUCCUCCCAAAGAGUAACGGAGGAGCCCAAAGGUACCCUCAGCCUGGUUGGCAAUCAGGCGUUGAGCGCAAAGGUAGAAGGGUGCUUGACUGCGAGACCUAUAAGUCGAGCAGAGACGAAAGUCGGGCUUAGUGAUCCGGCGGUUCCGAGUGGAAGGGCCGUCGCUCAACAGAUAAAAGGUACUCUGGGGAUAACAGGCUGAUCACUUCCGAGCGUCCAUAGCGGCGAAGUGGUUUGGCACCUCGAUGUCGGCUCAUCACAUCCUGGGGGUGAAGAAGCUCCCAAGGGUUCGGCUGUUCGCCGAUUAAAGUGGUACGUGAGCUGGGUUUAAACCGUCGUGAGACAGGUUGGUCCCUAUCUGCUGUGGGCGUACGAAACUUGAAGGAUUUUCUCUUUAGUACGAGAGGAUUUAGAGGGACGUACCUCUGGUGUUCCUGUUGUCACGCUAGUGGCAUGGCAGGGUAGCUAAGUACGGUCUAGAUAAGUGCUGAAAGCAUAUAAGCACGAAGCUAUUCCUGAGAUGAGGUUUCGUAGGUCCUAGUGACCGAGAGUCCCCUGGAAGACGACCAGGUCGAUAGGCUGGCUGUGUAAGGUGAGCAAUCAUCUCAGCUGACCAGUACUAACGGACGAACGCUUGAC